CAGUAUAUUUGUUGUUACUCCCUCUACAUGUCAAAAGAUAGGGUUUUCUCCCCCAAAACAGAAAGUCGGGUUGGAAGUACUGAUACACACUACAACAUGGAUAAAAGUUGAAAACAUUAUGCUAGGUGAAAGAAGCUAGUUACGAAUGGCUACGUAUUGUAUGACUUUCUUUAUACGAAAUGUCCAUAAUGGCAAAUCUAGAAAGAUGGAAAGUAAAUUGGUGAUUGACUUGGGCUUGGGGGCAGUGUAGUGAUGGGGAACAGGAGUGGACUGCUAAUGAGUACAGACUUUCUUUUUGGAGGAAAAAAGUCAUCUAAGCUUAGAUUGUGG
rnacentral:lncRNA from 1 species